UUCCAGAUCGUGGAAGACGAGCCAGUUCUUCGAGCGUUUCGAGUGAUGCGGUACCACAACGUUGGCGGCUUGCCUGUCAUCACAAAGUCUGACAACAAACCAAUCGGUAACAUCAGUAUCAGAGACGUCCGGUUUCUACUUACAGCCCCACAAGUUUACAAAUCUCACCGGUAUAGUCUCAUUGUAGUUCUCCAGUGCCAAACUUAGCUUUCCUCUCUGCAGAACAAUAACAGCGAAGGAUUUCCUCCAAGUUACAAAGUCGAUCUUGCAAAAAGACCAGCCUUCCUCACCGAUCCUCCACCCUGUCAUCGUUUGCACGUCGAGUGAGAGGCUCCAGGACGUGAUCUCCAAGCUGGACAGGGCCC
rnacentral:lncRNA from 1 species